AGUGAACGCUGGCGGUAGGCCUAACACAUGCAAGUCGAACGGCAGCACAGUAAGAGCUUGCUCUUACGGGUGGCGAGUGGCGGACGGGUGAGGAAUACAUCGGAAUCUACUUUUUCGUGGGGGAUAACGUAGGGAAACUUACGCUAAUACCGCAUACGACCUACGGGUGAAAGCAGGGGAUCUUCGGACCUUGCGCGAUUGAAUGAGCCGAUGUUGGAUUAGCUAGUUGGCGGGGUAAAGGCCCACCAAGGCGACGAUCCGUAGCUGGUCUGAGAGGAUGGUCAGCCACACUGGAACUGAGACACGGUCCAGGCUCCUGCGGGAGGCAGCAGUGGGGAAUAUUGGACAAUGGGCGCAAGCCUGAUCCAGCCAUACCGCGUGGGUGAAGAAGGCCUUCGGGUUGUAAAGCCCUUUUGUUGGGAAAGAAAAGCAGCAGGUUAAUACCCCGCUGUUCUGACGGUACCCAAAGAAUAAGCACCGGCUAACUUCGUG
rnacentral:rRNA from 1 species